rnacentral:lncRNA from 1 species
UAAAAAAGUAACUGAGCUCCAUUCUGACUCACUUUCAUCUUCUCAAUUGCUUCAGAAUUUGGGAAGGAGGAAAGGGGAAUUAUUUAUUAGACUCCUUCGAACACCAAUAGUGAACAAGUUAGAGAAAUAAUGAUUUGUUACUGUUAGUUUAAUGCUUUAUGCAACUUGUAAGGUCUCAAUAAAAUUACUGUUUGUUUUAUUUUUCUCACUUUAUUCUUACCUAAAAACAAAAGGACAAUAUUGCUAUCUCAAUAGUGUUUGAAAUUAUUGAGAUUUUAGGUGUCGUUAAAGCCAACACAUAGAACAUAUACAGAUUUUUUUUAAUCAAAAGUUAAUCCAGUAAACAACCCAAAUGUCCUCAAUUGUAGAAUGGAUAAAUAACGGUGGAAAUAAGCAAACUAUAGUAACACACAACAACCUAGAUGAAUAUCAAAAACAUAAUGUUAAGAUAAGGAAGCAAGACACAGAGAAUAUAGUUUCAAUUUAUGUUUAAAAAGCUACAAAAAUGGGCAGACUAAACUAUAUUGUUUAAGGAAUACAUAGGUAUUACAACAAUAUAAAAAGAAAGGAAAUUAUUAUCAAAAAAUUUAGAAUAAUUCUGGGGGGUAAACGAAGGUAUUGCAAAUGAGGAGGGGCAUGUGGUGGGUAACUAGGGUUGGGGCAAUACUCUAAUUCUCGACCUAAGAGGUAGUUACACGGAGGUGUGUCAUCUUUUGAUGUUCUUGUCUCACAAUCCAGACCAACCUAUUCUUUGUCCUGUCUUUUCACUUAACUUUUAUCCUCCUUAAAUUCUACCAGCAUGCUAUUCAGCUAUACCUAUUAGAAAUUAUAAUUUUCUCUUUCUUUAGAUUUAUGAGGAGGAUAAGUUUAUAUCUACAAUCUCUUCCCUUUUUUCUCCAGUAAAUCCUAUUUCUUUCUUUGGGAUAGCAGUAUACAUCGUGGAGAUGGAACAUUAAAUGUCUUACUGCUUUUACUUCUGUUUUUAUUUUAUUUUAUUGUAUUUUCCUUCAUCACCUCUCCCUCUUUCUUCCAUCCUUUCCUUGCUACCAUCCUGUGUGCUUGUCUUUUAACUUUGGUUCGUUUAUUCUAGGAAUUUCCUCCCAGAAUCCUGGAGUACCACUUGAAAUGACAGCUACAUGUUUAUAAUGGAAAUAGCUUGUUUUUGGAUUUUAUGCAGUUUCACUAUGAGAAACAGAUAAAAUGAAGUUAUUAGCACAUAAGACUAAAAUCAAAUUCACUAUGGCAUAAUAAGUAAACACACCAGAAAUCUCAGAACCUUGUGGACAGUGAGAAAAACCAGAUAAAAAAAUAAACCCCCACAGCCAUAUUUUCUUUCUACACUGAAUUUUAGGGACAUGUUAAUAUGGCAUACGUGCCUGUUGUACUCUAUUUGUUCUAAAAUGUAUUCCCAUAGUAUUAAAAGAGUCUCUAUAGCAAAGAGACAAGUUGGUUUAAUGAUUCAUCUUUAGGAUUUAGACUUCAAAUGAGAAAGAAGUUGUAAGAUGAUUUUCCAAAAUAGUCUUGAUUAGGUGAGAAGGGGUGUGUGUGUGUGUGUGUGUGUGUGUGUGUGUGUGUAAAUGACAGUGAAAAUUAAGAGUUCUUGAGGUUUUCAAAUAGUCAUUAUUCUGGUAUGGUAAUUUACUUUACAUUAAAAAGUCUUUCAGCCAAAAUAAUCAUUUGCAAAAAACUAAUGAGAUAUAUAAUGACUUUAUAAAUUAAAAUUAUACGGUAGUACUCAAUUCUUAUAUUUUCCACAGCAAUUAUGGUGACACUAUUUAAUGGCACAGCAUAAUAUUAUACAUUUAUUUAUGACAAUAUUUCUGUGUGGAAAUGGAAACUGAUAUUUUUUAAAAUCCCAUUUAAGAGAAUUUAAAAUUUCAAAAAAUAUAAUUUAUAAUCUGAAAUAUUUUGUUACUAAAUUAUGCAUAAAUCACUGCAAGGUAAACUCAGCGCAAGUAUUUAUAAAAUGAUAACGAAUUAUUUUUUAAAUUAAAAAUAUUUUAGUGCUAAGAAUAAUAGUUACAAUUUUGGUAUCCCAGACAUAGUUUUAAUGAGUUAGGAGAAUACAAUUUUAUAUUUCAAAUGUGUAUAUAUAUUAAAUUAUAUACAUUUUAAACCAAUAGUUUAUCAUAAGUAAAAGAAUACUAAACAUACUGAAAAGUAUUGUUAGCAUUAUUUUUUCAUUAAGUUUUGAUAAGUAGUAUAUGUAUCUUGUACAAGACAUAAUACAACAGCAAAAUUGAAUUUAAGCAUUGGAAAAAUAAAAAGCAAAAAUACUUUAUAAAGAGAAGCCAUAUGAGCAAAAUGAUAGUUUUAAACAUAAUUUUUUGGCUCUAGAGUAAGUAUACUAAAGUAUUGCCUAGCAAUAGCAAUAACUGAAGAUGCGAUGAGAAUUGGAAAUAUCAAAUUUGUCCUUUUAUAAUUAGUAGUUUUUAAAAUUAUAUAUGGAAUAAUUUACCCAAACUCUACAGAAAUACAGGCAAAAUAACUUGAUAUCUCAAAUAACAUCUGCCUAAUAUUUCUCUUUUUCCCUUAUCAAAGGACUGGUCACUUGAUAAGGUGAAAAUUGAAGUGUAGACAAUUUCCCUGUUCUAUUUCCUAGAAUAACUACUAAUAUUAUUUGAGGUUCAAAAAAAAAAGUGUAAUACAGCUUACUAAAUGUUAGGUGAUAUUUUAGGAAAUUAAAAGAAAUAGCUUGGUCUCUAUUUUCUAAAACGUGCCAUACAAUUAAAAAACCGAUAGAAUAUUCCUUAUAGCAUUUGUUGUAAUUAGACCCCUGUAGCUGAAAGUCAUAAAUAUGAUUAAUGCACUGUUGAUACCUGAGAUAUUACUCAAUAUGAUCAUAUUUUAUAUGUACUAAUGAUUAUAUAAAAUAAUAGCAAAGACUAAUAAAUUCCUAAGUGUAAGAACUCAAAAUUAUAUGAGCUGUUUUAGUUAGUUUAUAUUAAUAAGGUAAAUAGGAAUAGAAACAAAGCAUCAAUAAAAAUCAAUUUACUUAAAUUAGGUAUAGGAUGUUGAUUAAAUAUACAGUUAAUAAUAAUUUUUUAACAACUUAUAUGAAACAAAAAACAUUAACUGUUCUAUACUUUUUUGAAAUAAAUUACAAGGCAUCUGGAAAGGGCAUAAUCUCACUAAAAGUGAACGACUGAAUAUUGAAUUCAAACACCAUGCCAAUGUUCUUUGAAAACAAACAUCAAACACUUAGAAAGCAUAUAUUACUUAUCAUUUAUGGUUAUAAAAAGCAUAACUGGUGCCACUUUUCCAUUUCCAUCUCUUAAAUCACACUACCUCUUAAUUAAUGAUUCUGCUCUCAUGAUUUAGCAUAUUCAUUCAUUUUAUGAUUUAUUCCUUCAUGGAGAUGUGCUGAGAAAAAAUUCUAAAAGCAAAAUUAAUUCAAAAUAACCAUUUAGAAAAAAUGUUGUAUUACAUAUAUUGUAUCCAUGUUUGUGAUUUUAAGAUUUUCUUUUUUUUUUUUUUUCUUUUUUUUUUUUUUUAUUAUACUCUAAGUUUUAGGGUACAUGUGCACAUUGUGCAGGUUAG